rnacentral:rRNA from 1 species
CCUACGGGUGGCAGCAGUGAGGAAUAUUGGUCAAUGGGCGCGAGCCUGAACCAGCCAAGUAGCGUGAAGGAUGACUGCCCUACGGGUUGUAAACUUCUUUUAUAAAGGAAUAAAGUGAGGCACGUGUGCCUUUUUGUAUGUACUUUAUGAAUAAGGAUCGGCUAACUCCGUGCCAGCAGCCGCGGUAAUACGGAGGAUCCGAGCGUUAUCCGGAUUUAUUGGAUUUAAAGGGAGCGUAGGCCGGUCUUUAAGCGUGCCGUGAAAUGCUGUGGCUCAACCAUGGGGGUGCGGCGGAAACUGGAGACCUAGAGUGCGAAGGAGGUAGGAGGAAUGCGGGGUGUAGCGGUGAAAUGCAUAGAUAUCACGCAGAACCCCGAUUGCGAAGGCAGCCUGCCGACGCGAUACUGACGCUGAAGCACGAAAGCGCGGGUAUCGAACAGGAUUAGAUACCCGUGUAGUC